AGUAAUGUCAUACAUCCGAGAUCGAAAUUUGAGAUUAUUGCAUUUUGACUUUUUCUUUCGAGACAUCAGUGCACACAUGCUUGAACUAGUAGGUCAAAAAUGAGAGAUGUUUAGGAGGGUUUGGAGAAGACUAGGACAGCCAUGUGGGCACAUCAUUCCUCACACACUCCUUGACGGAGAUGUAAUAUGCGAGUGUCGAGACAAAACACGAUAUACCAAAAAGUUUUGCCCCGGUUUAGUGUUUGGGAAAAUGAGCAUAGGAGUAUGGAUCCAUGAAAAUUAGGGUUAACAAAUCAAAUGAACUUCCAAAUCUGCCCCAGUCUUGGGAUCAUAGGUUGAUGAAAAAAUUGUAUGAGACUCACAAAGCUGCCCCAGUCUUGGGAUCAUGGGUUGAUGAAAAAUUUGUAUAAGACUCACAAAGUUGCCUCAGUUUUUUCCUUAGCAAAGGGUUCCGUUUGGAAGAGGUAGUGGGCAUGAAAAAGAUUGGCUAAAAGGACGACCCCAAUUGGUUUGAUUUUCUUUUACAUGCUUUGGCUAGUUGGCAAGGAGAUCCCCUCUACCCGAGACAUUAUCUUCUUCUCUUUUUUGUCAUUCAUUUUCAACUUUUUUUUUCUUUACGACACAAUGAAAGUCAUUUCGCCUUAUCACAAAAUUAAGCUUUAUGAAAAAUUGAGCAAACAUUAUCCAAUCUGUGUGGGCUUUUUUAGGCUUGUAACGUGGCUAGG
rnacentral:lncRNA from 1 species